rnacentral:lncRNA from 1 species
UUAAAAGUCAAUUCAAGGAAGUUUAUGUGUGUGUAUGGGAAGGGGAUGAUGCUAUAAAGUUGAAGGUUUCGAGAUACCUACUCUCUAAUCAUAAACUAACACAGAAAGACAGUGACUUCAGUGGAAGAAGUAAUAUCAAGGAGUUUGACUAUUGGCAGCAAAGAAGAGGGUCAACCAUGUAUUCAUAGAAGAAUUAGCCUAAAUGAUCAAGAGCCAAGCUACAGAAAGCAGCAAACCCUGAGAGGCCAGAGAAUAAUCAACCAAGUGGAGAGGCUACACUCAGCUGGGAGAUACAUGAGGACGCCUCAAGUUGCCCUACAGUACCAGAGAAACAUGGCUACAGUUUCAUUCAGGAGAAAGUACUUGGUAGAUUGAGAGACUCAGGGCCCUCAUUGCAUGAUUGCAGCCAUCUCCCGCCAUCUGUGAAAAAGGAAAACUGAAGCAAGUUUUGGAUUUUCUGCCACUCCAUUGGAACAAACAGCAGUUGGAAUGUUAGAGAGAAGAUAUUGACAAAAAUAACAGUUGGAUGGGGGAAGGGCUUCUGGGAGUGACAGUUGGUCUUGAGCUAUCUUUUCUGGCCCUCUACUCAAGAUUUUCCCAACUGUGUGCUCUUCCUGGAUUCCUGUGAUCCUGUCAUCAAACAAAAGAAUUUAAGGGGAGUCGUUUGAACUGUAAGGCCGGUCUUUUUGAGGUUAGUCCAAAGACACAGGCCCAACCAGCUCUGAAGGUCAGAAACUUUUCUUCCUCUUUCCGUCUAAUGCUAAGACUUUGAACUUAAGAAAG